UACAGAGGGGGCAAGCGUUGUUCGGAAUUACUGGGCGUAAAGGGCGCGUAGGCGGCCUUCUAAGUCGAACGUGAAAUCCCCGGGCUCAACCCGGGAACUGCGUCCGAUACUGGAAGGCUUGAAUCCGGGAGAGGGAUGCGGAAUUCCAGGUGUAGCGGUGAAAUGCGUAGAUAUCUGGAGGAACACCAAUAGCGAAGGCAGCUCGCUGGGACGUUACUGACACUGAGGCGCGAAAGCGUGGGGAGCGAACAGG
rnacentral:rRNA from 1 species